rnacentral:rRNA from 1 species
UACGUAGGGGGCAAGCGUUGUCCGGAAUCAUUGGGCGUAAAGCGCGUGUAGGCGGCUUGGUAAGUCUGCUCUGAAAGCCCGGGGCUCAACCCCGGGAGGCGGGUGGAUACUGUCAAGCUCGAGUCCGGAAGAGGAGUGUGGAAUUCCUGGUGUAGCGGUGAAAUGCGUAGAUAUCAGGAGGAACACCGGUGGUGCAGACGGCUCUCUGGACCGUAACUGACGCUGAGACACGAAAGCGUGGGUAGCAAACAGG